rnacentral:misc_RNA from 1 species
GGCUGAAACACGUGGCAGCUCUUGG